rnacentral:lncRNA from 1 species
UUUUUACUCUAGGCUUGAUUCUUCACUACCUGAGACGUUGAAAAAGGAGCACCUCUCAGCUGAAAACAUGUCUUUAGAAACACUAAGAAAUAGCAGUGCAGAAGACCUCUUUGAUGAGAUUUAGCAGUUUCAAAAAAGUACUUUGAUGUUCACUAGACUGUGUUUUCUCUGCAUUUCUUUAAAAUGAAAAGGCAAAAUUUUAACUAAAUAGCAACUAUUAGUGUACUUUAUGACUUAAUUACAUGUACAUCUAGUUGAAGCCAUUGUGCAAAGUGGAUUACACAUGUAUAUGAAGAUGUAAUUUGAUGACAGUGGAACAUUAUUCCAAACUAUUCAUUUGAUGUGUCUGUAAUUACAUGACAUCUCAGACUUGGCUUGCAAAGGCACAUUUAAUAUGUUCUUUCACACACAUUAUAUGUGGUAACCAUCUAAUAACCUGUCUAGGAAGAUAUUGGAAACAAGACAAAGAAAAUAUCUUUUUAAAAUGUCUGUAGCUCUUUUUGAAUAAUCAUAUUCUGAACAAUAUGUUUGAGCAUCUCAGUUUGUGGUGUGGCAUAUA